UGCAAGUCGAGCGGAUGAGAGGAGCUUGCUCCUCGAUUCAGCGGCGGACGGGUGAGUAAUGCCUAGGAAUCUGCCUAGUAGUGGGGGACAACGUUUCGAAAGGAACGCUAAUACCGCAUACGUCCUACGGGAGAAAGUGGGGGAUCUUCGGACCUCACGCUAUUAGAUGAGCCUAGGUCGGAUUAGCUAGUUGGUAGGGUAAAGGCCUACCAAGGCGACGAUCCGUAACUGGUCUGAGAGGAUGAUCAGUCACACUGGAACUGAGACACGGUCCAGACUCCUACGGGAGGCAGCAGUGGGGAAUAUUGGACAAUGGGCGAAAGCCUGAUCCAGCCAUGCCGCGUGUGUGAAGAAGGCCUUCGGGUCGUAAAGCACUUUAAGUUGGGAGGAAGGGCUCAUAGCGAAUACCUGUGAGUUUUGACGUUACCAACAGAAUAAGCACCGGCUAACUUCGUGCCAGCAGCCGCGGUAAUACGAAGGGUGCAAGCGUUAAUCGGAAUUACUGGGCGUAAAGCGCGCGUAGGUGGCUUGAUAAGUUGGAUGUGAAAUCCCCGGGCUCAACCUGGGAACUGCAUCCAAAACUGUCUAGCUAGAGUGCGGUAGAGGGUAGUGGAAUUUCCAGUGUAGCGGUGAAAUGCGUAGAUAUUGGAAGGAACACCAGUGGCGAAGGCGACUACCUGGACUGACACUGACACUGAGGUG
rnacentral:rRNA from 1 species